rnacentral:ribozyme from 1 species
UUUCUUUUUCCUCUUUUCCUUCCUUUUCUUCUCCCCUUCUUAUUACACAAGGAAGAGAUGGUGUGUUAAAAAUAUGGAAAUGUGAUAUCACAGGAAAACAUGCUGAAUCGGCUUCUUUGUCAUUACUAUGGAGUCUCGAGCUAAAAACAAAGGGAUUUUGUCCUUUUGAUGUU